UACGGGGAUUGGCACACACGAGUUGAUCCGUAGAUAUCCGAAUGGGGCAACCCAGUAUGUUGAAGACAUACUAUCCAAUAUGGAGGCGAACCCGCUGAACUGAAACAUCUAAGUAGGCGGAGGAGAAGAAAACAAAAGUGAUUCCGUAAGUAGUGGCGAGCGAACGCGGAAUAGCCCAAACCAAAGUUGUUACGGCAAUUUUGGGGUUGUAGGACCACGAGAUUUCUUGCGGAUUUAAUUAGAAUUACCUGGAAAGGUAAACCGAAGAGGGUGAUAGUCCCGUAUUGGUAAGAGAAGAUAAGAAUAGUGGUAUCCUGAGUAGGUCGGGGCACGUGAAACCUUGAUUGAAACUGGCGGGACCAUCCGCUAAGGCUAAAUACUCCUGAGAGACCGAUAGUGAACCAGUACCGUGAGGGAAAGGUGAAAAGAACCGUGAAUAACGGAGUGAAACAGAUCCUGAAACCAUACGCCUACAAGCGGUCGGAGCUUCUACGUGAAGUGACGGCGUGCCUUUUGCAUAAUGAGCCUACGAGUUACCGUUGCUGGCAAGGAUAAGUGAUUAAGUCAUGGAUCCGUAGCGAAAGCGAGUCUUAAUAGGGCGCUUAAGUCAGUAGUGGUAGACGCGAAACCGUGUGAUCUACCCAUGGGCAGGUUGAAGUUUAGGUAACACUAAAUGGAGGACCGAACCGUUUAACGCUGAAAAGUUUUCGGAUGACCUGUGGGUAGGGGUGAAAGGCCAAUCAAACUCGGAAAUAGCUCGUACUCCCCGAAAUGCAUU
rnacentral:rRNA from 1 species